GAUGAAGUGGCUGGUCUGCUAAGAAGAAUGCAUCUUGUUAGGAUGAGAUGCUGUGCCAGAACACCUGAAUUCAUCAAGUGUUGUAUGUACUGUACUUUUAAACUGAACACAAAGAGCAGAUCUGGAAUUUGCAGACCAAAGACGCAUGUUUUAAUGCCAUUUCAAUUUAUUCAGAUGAUCUGUAAAUUUUCAAUAAUGGCAAUACAUUCAUUCUGCCAUUUGGAGGAGCCUGUGCCACAGAAUAAUGAUCUGAAGAAAACUCACUUAUUUGCAAGGAAGUCUUCAUUUGGGAAAUAGUAGUGAUGCAGUUAAGAGGUGCUUUGUCAGCUUCAGCAGAAGUAUUACUGUUCCUAGAACAACCUCCUGUACAUAGACAAAACUGGAUUUUCCUCAGUGUUCUGUAUCUGAAGAGUAAGAAGGUAAGGUACUUGUGAUUAUAUUAUUUCAGCAAACAGUUGAAAGUAAUUUCAAUUACUUUUAAUACACACGAAUAUACAAAAAUACUUGAUUUGUCAUGCAUCAAGAAGUCUCAAAUGGUUUAUAUCAGUUUCUGGUUUUUUUUCCCAUUUUAACCCACGGGUGGAAUUUCUGAAAAUAUUCAGCUCUGCUUUUUAAAUGUGUUUUCUGUGAAAUCAGUGAGGUGACCUGAGUGGGAAUAAAGGUUGGUGUAUCUUUAGUGAGACAAAGUUAAGUCAUCACCAAGUGAUUUUAAAAUCCCAUCCCUGAAAUACUAGGUCUCUGACAUUCAGUAGGAUGAGAAUCUCUGAACAGGCUGACUACUGGGGACUCAGAAGCUGCAGUUCAGGUGAGUAACUUCUUUGGAGGAGGAACUUAAAGGUUUCUUCUUUAAAAAUUAUGAUAAUUAAGUAGCAAAGGGUGCAACUUAAACUAUAAAUAUUUUCCACUUAACAUUUACAUUUAAAAUAGAUUUGUGAGAGGAUUUGUUAGUUACUAUUUGAGCAUUAUAUAGUUACCUAACAUUUCAGCAGUACUGUUUCUGAAGAGGACUUCUUUACCAACACAAAACAUGAAUGUCUAGUUCUAUUCCCAGCCACAUUUUUAUCUUGUUUUCCAACAUGUAGCUAUGAGUGUGUAGCUAGUUCAGCUACCGCAAUUUCUAUUUUGCAAAGACAGAGAUGUCUUUUGGUAAUGCAUGCAUAAUUUAGAACUAACAGUUUCUAUAUUGGAGUAAGUGUUGGGGGCUCUGUUCAGAUCACAGGAUUAACUUGGUUUGUCUCCUGCUCCAGCUGAUCCUCGCUUUCUCCAAGGAAAGGGUAGUUUAGUUGUUUGUGUUGUGACAGUUCAAUGUAGUUUGUAACCUUGAGCCUUAAAGUCACUC
rnacentral:lncRNA from 1 species